GGGGUCUUGAUACAACUUCAGAACGGUUUCCGUGUCGUUAUUCGUACAAGACCCUCGUCUCUCUCUACCCCCCAUUUGGUUAUUAGGAGGAGGUCCCCUCGCGAUCCUCGAAUAACUGGACCUGCUGGACGGGUCAAGUGGCGCCCGACGUGGAGCACGAGGUACGACUGCCCUCCGGACAACGGAUUAAGGAUUAAAGAGGUACCGUGCAGACAGAGAAACAGUGGGACAGUCCACUGACACUUCACUGGAGUGUCGAGUACGGACGUCGGGAGGUAAGCCUAGGCAUUCAAUUGUUGUCCCAUUAGCCAUGGGGCAUUUAGUGAAGAGAUAAAGUGUUCUCUUAAGGAGAGAGGGAUAAGAGUUUUUAAAAAAGGGGAAUUUAAUAAUAUAUUUUUGUUUUGUGGACAAGAGAUGUCCAUGGCUGGUAUUAAAUGGUUCUGAAACUUAGAAUAAAGUAAGCAAAGAAAUCAAUAGUUUAAUAAAACAAGGAGAAGAUGUCCAUGAGUCCUUUUUUAGUUAUUGGGGAAUUAUCAGAGAUCUCCUUGAGCAGGCAGAAAAGGGUGGAAAAGGUGCUCGCCUCCUAGCCCUUACUGAAGAUUUUUUAGAAAGCUCCCAAUCGCCAUCUCACAAAAGCAAAACUAAGCUGCCGGCGCACAGUAUCUCUAUUAGAAGGUUUAGUAGAAGGCUACUUGAUACCCAAUGAAUGGAAUAAAGUUAUUCAGUCUGUCCUCACUAGAGGCCAAUAUUUAACUUGAAAGUCAGAGUUUGUGAAAGACAGCCUCCUGGACUGCUGACAAAAUCUGUGGUUAAGGCAAUUUCGCUGCAGACAUAAAACAAUUAGGGCUCUCCCCUGUUGUCCUCGCCCAGACAGCACAAGCGGCCCUGAGAGCUUGGUGCGCUGUCCCUGCAGCAAGGGCGCUAACUAUGCCCCUAAUCAAGAUUAUAUAAGGGCCCCAAGAAUCCUAUGUGCAGUUCGUUGCCAGAUUGCAGGAAGCAGCUGAGAAAUUUCUGGGACCUGAGGAAAGUGAGGGUUUGUUAGUCCUACAACUUGCUCUUGAAAAUGCCAAUUCAGCAUGUAGGGCUGCCCUGAGAGGUAAAACCAAGAGUUUAGAUAUAAAUGGUAUGAUCAAGCUUUGUAACAAGGUAGAUGUGUUUUCUCAACAAGUUUCUAAGUCUAUUAACCUGGCCAUUGGGACUGCUCUAACUCCAGCUCCAAGAUUGGUGCCGAGCCCCAUUGGCCCAAGUUAAAAGUAGACAUCUGUGUCCUCACAUUGGGUGCAGAUGCCGCCUGGGGCACCCCUGAUUAUUAUAUGCCUCAAUUAACAGCAGUUAACACAGGUGAAUUUGGGCCCCCUCCCCAAAAGAAGUUUUUUCUCAUCAUCGGCCGAGUGUCCAGACUUUUACAAGGCCUAAUGGUGACUCCUACAGUGGUUGACACCGACUACCAUGGGGAGAUAAAAAUCUUAGUCAUCGCCACGCAGGAACCACUUACCCUUAGGGCUAGAGAGCGCAUAGCCCAAGCCCUACCACUCCCACUAUUCAGCCAUUUCCCUUAUUUGAAAGAGGAGCAAGGACCAUCCUCCCUGGGAUCCUCAGAAGUCUACUGGGCACAGAAAAUAACUGAUUCAUGGCCCAUGCCGACUUUGUUUCUAGAGGACAAACAGUUUCAAGGGCUCCUAGAUACUGGGGCAGAUGUGACAGUAAUUUCCUCAACACACUGGCCUGCAGCCUGGCCCUUACAGCCCACUAAGAGAUGGUGUAAUCCACUGAUCAUAAAAUUUACUGCU
rnacentral:lncRNA from 1 species